AGCGCUCACAAAUUUUUAGAGAAAUAGAGACCACUAAAAGUAAAACAGUUCUUUAUCAUUCAAAAAUCAUUCAACUGAAUAAGAACUUAGAACAAAAAGAAGAAGAAAAGGCUGCUUUUAAUCAGACACUUGACUAUUUAAAUGACCAGUUUAUAACCUUGAGAGAGAAAAAGGAACAUGCACAAGCUGUAUUUGAUCAUCUUGUAAAUGAGAAAAAAGCCUGUGAAGAGAGAAUCUAUGAGGAAGAACAGAGAUACAGAACAUUAUUUAAUAUGAGGCAAAACACUCUGGCCAGUAUUAAG